AACGAACGCUGGCGGCAGGCUUAACACAUGCAAGUCGAACGCCCCGCAAGGGGAGUGGCAGACGGGUGAGUAACGCGUGGGAACAUACCCUUUUCUACGGAAUAGCUCUGGGAAACUGGAAUUAAUACCGUAUACGCCCUACGGGGGAAAGAUUUAUCGGGGAAGGAUUGGCCCGCGUUGGAUUAGCUAGUUGGUGGGGUAAAGGCCUACCAAGGCGACGAUCCAUAGCUGGUCUGAGAGGAUGAUCAGCCACAUUGGGACUGAGACACGGCCCAAACUCCUACGGGAGGCAGCAGUGGGGAAUAUUGGACAAUGGGCGCAAGCCUGAUCCAGCCAUACCGCGUGAGUGAUGAAGGCCUUAGGGUUGUAAAGCUCUUUCACCGAUGAAGAUAAUGACGGUAGUCGGAGAAGAAGCCCCGGCUAACUUCGUG
rnacentral:rRNA from 1 species